rnacentral:rRNA from 1 species
CGGAUGUCCUCUCCUGGGAGUCGGGUUGCUUGAGAGUGCAGCCCUAAUCAGGUGGUAAACUCCAUCUAAGGCUAAAUACGACCUGGAGACCGAUAGCGAACAAGUACCGUGAGGGAAAGUUGAAAAGGACUUUGAAGAGAGAGUUCAAGAGUACGUGAAACCGUUCGGAGGUAAACGAGUGGGCCCUCGAAGUGUGAAGGCGGGGGGACUCAGCCGAACGCCGUCGAGCCCGCCGCCGCGUCCGCGCUUCCCUGAAAGGACGCGGCGCGGCGGUGCGCUGGCUCCGGCGCGCGGCGCAUUUCCUCCCGUCCUCCGACGCUGCGACCGGUCGGGCGCGCCACGAGCAGUCGGCCUUACUCGCGGGAACCGGAAGGUAGCCGGGUAGGCGCACACGCGCUCUACCCGGUGUUUAUCCGUCCCGCUCUCGAGUUAGCCGUUCGCCCGACCGCAGGACCCGGCCCUCAGGGGCCUCUGCCGCGCCCUCCCCGAUUCCGGGGAUCGGAUCUCGCUUCCGGAAGGGAGGCCGUCGCGAUCCCGCGUUACACCCUCGGUGUGCGCGGGGCGGCGGCGCCCGCUGGCCGGAGCGAUUUCGAGCGGGCGCAGGUGGUCCGCAGCGAGUAGGUCGGUCACCCACUCGACCCGUCUUGAAACACGGACCAAGGAGUUUAACAUGCGCGCGAGUCACUGGGUCGUGAGCAGGCCCAAGGGCGCAAUGAAAGUGAAGGUCGGCCCUCGCCGUCCGCGUUGGGAUCCGCCGGCCGUCGCGCCGGCGGCGCACCAACGGCUCGUCCGGGCCGCCACGUCGGCCGGGCGAAGCUAGAGCGCGCACGUUGAGACCCGAAAGAUGGUGAACUAUGGCUGGGCAGGACGAAGCC